rnacentral:rRNA from 1 species
GAUGUCGGCUCAUCACAUCCUGGGGCUGAAGUAGGUCCCAAGGGUAUGGCUGUUCGCCAUUUAAAGUGGUACGCGAGCUGGGUUUAGAACGUCGUGAGACAGUUCGGUCCCUAUCUGCCGUGGGCGCUGGAGAACUGAGGGGGGCUGCUCCUAGUACGAGAGGACCGGAGUGGACGCAUCACUGGUGUUCGGGUUGUCAUGCCAAUGGCACUGCCCGGUAGCUAAAUGCGGAAGAGAUAAGUGCUGAAAGCAUCUAAGCACGAAACUUGCCCCGAGAUGAGUUCUCCCUGACUCCUUGAGAGUCCUGAAGGAACGUUGAAGACGACGACGUUGAUAGGCCGGGUGUGUAAGCGCAGCGAUGCGUUGAGCUAACCGGUACUAAUGAACCGUGAGGCUUAACCUUACAACGCCGAAGGUGUUU